rnacentral:misc_RNA from 1 species
UGUAGACAGAUCCAUAUCUCACGGC